rnacentral:rRNA from 1 species
GUUCGGAAUUACUGGGCGGAAAGGGCUCGUAGGCGGCCAACUAAGUCGGACGUGAAAUCCCCAGGCUCAACCUGGGAACUGCGUCCGAUACUGGAUGGCUUGAAUUCGGGAGAGGGAUGCAGAAUUCCAGGUGUAGCGGUGAAAUGCGUAGAUAUCUGGAGGAAUACCGGUGGCGAAGGCGGCAUCCUGGACCGACAUUGACGCUGAUGAGCGAAAGCUAGGGGAGCAAACGGG